rnacentral:rRNA from 1 species
CGUAGGACCCAAGCGUUGUCCGGAUUCACUGGGUAUAAAGGGUGCGUAGGCGGUCUUGUGCGUCAGAGGUGAAAUAUCCGGGCUUAACCCGGAGGGUGCCUUUGAUACGGCAGGACUUGAGUGCGAGAGAGGAUGAUGGAAUUCCUGGUGUAGCGGUGAAAUGCGUAGACAUCAGGAGGAACACCGGUGGCGAAGGCGGUCAUCUGGCUCGUAACUGACGCUGAGGCGCGAAAGCGCGGGGAUCAAACAGGAUUAGAUACCCUGGUAGUCCGCGCCCUAAACGAUGUAUGCUUGGUGUUGGUUCCGCAAGGAAUCAGUGCCGUAGGGAAUCUGAUAAGCAUACCACCUGGGGAGUACGACCGCAAGGUUG